GGGGGGGGGGGGGGGGUCGCAAGGCCGGGCCAGCCCGCGAAAGCCCCCCGGCUCCUCCUGGGGAAGCGCCGCGCUCGCCGGGCUCCUUCGCCACUGGAACAUAAAAGGAUCGAUUUGCUCUCCGCAAAGGGACCUUUUCCCUUGCAAACAUACAAGCGCUUCAUGUAAAUCACCAGAAAGCUACUGAUAAGGGCAGAACAGAGCAGAAGAGAACUUUGUCUGGAGCAUCAGCCUUAGCAUCACCUGGACAUUUUUAUUAAUAAGUCAAAAUUGAAUCUUUGCAAUUUAUCUCCCAGCAGAUGACCAGCUAGAAAAAGACAAUAAAAACAAUAUUUCAACCAACAAAUUUUAGACAAUCUGAAUGUUCAUGACUUUUCUCGCUUGUCAUUUUUUCAGCAGCUCCUGCCAUACAUUUAUACAUUAUUUCCACAUUUCCCCUAAACCCUUUUGCCACAGCUGAACCCGUAGCUGCCUUAAUAUACUUACUAUGCCUUAAUGUACCUAAUAUUAUACCUUCAUAUACCUAAGAGCAUGCUUUUAAACAGACUUUAAGUUAGGACAGUUUUCAUGGCAAAGCUUAAUGUGGCAUUUUUCACCUUGAUUUAAGAGAUUCCACAAGAUUUAGCGUGAAACGAGUCCGUGUGUGUCACCCAGAGGCUUGCGGCAGCAUGACUGCAGUUUUGCAUAACGAGGUGCUUUGCUUUGGAAUCACCGCUGCCCUCACUGAUCAGCAGGCCGGGAGGCAAAGCUCCUUCUUCCCCGGCCCUUCUCUGGGUGGCUUUUAGGAAACGUGCAGAAAUGGGAUGCGGUUAGCCAGGUCGCGGGUGCUGGGUGUGAUGUGCCACCGCUUUUCUUUUUGGCACCCACCUGCACCGCGGCUGCGGCUGGCUCAAGAGGACGAGCCCCCCGAGUAAAUUCCCUGGUCAAAGAUGAAACAUGCCAUCUUACGUUUCUGCUUGCUUUUAACAUCCAAGCCUCCAAAUGCACAGACUUCUCAAACAGCACCUUCUAGUUUCCGCCUUAGGCGCAUAGUCUGCUUGGAAAGAAUAAAUAGAAAUAGAGCAAAGAAUAUAGGAAAAUCCCUAUUAGGUGUUUUCUGGGUGUGCAGAGGGGCAGUUACGGGUAUCAGCAGCAAAAUGAGUUUACUUUCCCCUUGGAAACUGCACCAUUGAAUGUCCCUGCCACAGCAACCGCCGUGAAACCGGCACGUCCCCCCAGCAGCGUGCACGGCGGGGCUUCGUGCGCACGGGCUUCGGCUUCGCAGGGUUUUCCGAGCGAUACGGCAGAGACCAACCGUCCUGCGUCGUACUCGUCUCCCCUGACCUGCCACAACCCCGUGCAGAAACCAAAACAGAUGAUCUUACUCGAGUACUGACUCACUUUGCGUGGAAGCGACGUUGCAUGGUGACCGCGCUGGAGCGCGCUGCUCUCGCCGAGCCGCCGAACGGCACCUCGCGCCUACCGCCUGCUUUGCAGCUCUGCAGAAGUCAGCCAGCCUCCAGCUGCGCGGGACAGGGCGAUUAACCUUCCUUCACCUUAGGGACCAAAGACAAGAUAAAUGACCCAGAAAGGCUGCAAAAAGCUUCAGCUGCAGAUCUGGAAGCAGAAUGCAGGAUUUCCUGGCUCGAGAGCUGGCCAGGAUCGCUGCCCAUCCCUGAGCUGCUGCAGGGAGAUGCCCACGCUUGUCUGAACUCCACGUGGAUCGAGCUAUCAAAUACAACCCAGGGAUUUACCUCCCUAAACGCCGCUGAUGCUUUUCUUUCCAAAAUCUUAUUGGCAGUAAGAUCCAAAUGGCAAUGUCACAAAUGUGCAAUUACUGACAUUUAAAUAUAUAUAUAUAAAUCUUAACUAUAGCACUGUUUCGGUUCAGGACAGGUUGUUUCGAGCGCCAUCCGUUUCGGGGGCUUCCCACAAGAGCACAUCGUUUCACGCUCUAACAUGGGGCAAGAGAAGCAGAGAACUCACUUGUACUUGUCAUGAUGCACAUAUGAUUUAUACUAAUGUUGGCUAUUAAAGGAUUUUUAGUAAGUA